UAAGCAUAUCAAUAAGCGGAGGAAAAGAAACCAACCGGGAUUGCCUCAGUAACGGCGAGUGAAGCGGCAAGAGCUCAAAUUUGAAAGCUGGCUCCUUCGGAGUCCGCAUUGUAAUUUGCAGAGGAUGCUUUGGGUGCGGCCCCCGUCUAAGUGCCCUGGAACGGGCCGUCAGAGAGGGUGAGAAUCCCGUCUUGGGCGGGGUGUCCGUGCCCGUGUAAAGCUCCUUCGACGAGUCGAGUUGUUUGGGAAUGCAGCUCUAAAUGGGUGGUAAAUUUCAUCUAAAGCUAAAUACUGGCCGGAGACCGAUAGCGCACAAGUAGAGUGAUCGAAAGAUGAAAAGCACUUUGAAAAGAGAGUUAAACAGCACGUGAAAUUGUUGAAAGGGAAGCGCUUGCGACCAGACUCGCCCGCGGGGUUCAGCCGGCAUUCGUGCCGGUGUACUUCCCCGUGGGCGGGCCAGCGUCGGUUUGGGCGGCCGGUCAAAGGCCCCUGGAAUGUAGUGCCCUCCGGGGCACCUUAUAGCCAGGGGUGCAAUGCGGCCAGCCUGGACCGAGGAACGCGCUUCGGCACGGACGCUGGCAUAAUGGUCGUAAACGACCCGUCUUGAA
rnacentral:rRNA from 1 species